UACGUAGGGCGCAAGCGUUGUCCGGAAUUAUUGGGCGUAAAGAGCUCGUAGGCGGUUUGGUAAGUCGGGUGUGAAAUCUCCACGCUCAACGUGGAGGGGCCACUCGAUACUGCCAUGACUCGAGUCCGGUAGAGGAGUGUGGAAUUCCCGGUGUAGCGGUGAAAUGCGCAGAUAUCGGGAGGAACACCCGUAGCGAAGGCGGCACUCUGGGCCGGAACUGACGCUGAGGAGCGAAAGCGUGGGGAGCAAACAGG
rnacentral:rRNA from 1 species